rnacentral:tRNA from 1 species
GGGCCACUAGCUCAGUUGGCAGAGCGGGGGCCUCUUAAGCCCAAGGUCGAAGGUUCAAGUCCUUCGUGGCCCA